UAGAUUGAUCCUGGCUAGGGAUGAACGCUGGCGGCGUGCUUAACACAUGCAAGUCGACGGGGUACCCCCAAAGGAGUUUUCGGACAACUGCGGGGAAUACCUAGUGGCGGACGGGUGAGUAACGCGUGAGUAACCUGCCUUGGAGUGGGGAAUAACAGUUGGAAACAAUUGCUAAUACCGCAUGAUAUGUCUGUGUCGCAUGGCACUGGACAUCAAAGAUUUAUCGCUCUGAGAUGGACUCGCGUCUGAUUAGCUAGUUGGCGGGGCAACGGCCCACCAAGGCGACGAUCAGUAGCCGGACUGAGAGGUUGGCCGGCCACAUUGGGACUGAGACACGGCCCAGACUCCUACGGGAGGCAGCAGUGGGGAAUAUUGGGCAAUGGGCGGAAGCCUGACCCAGCAACGCCGCGUGAAGGAAGAAGGCUUUCGGGUUGUAAACUUCUUUUCUCAGGGACGAAGCAAGUGACGGUACCUGAGGAAUAAGCCACGGCUAACUACGUGCCAGCAGCCGCGGUAAUACGUAGGUGGCAAGCGUUAUCCGGAUUUACUGGGUGUAAAGGGCGUGUAGGCGGGAAAGCAAGUCAGAUGUGAAAACCAUGGGCUCAACCUGUGGCCUGCAUUUGAAACUGUUUUUCUUGAGUACUGGAGAGGCAGACGGAAUUCCUAGUGUAGCGGUGAAAUGCGUAGAUAUUAGGAGGAACACCAGUGGCGAAGGCGGUCUGCUGGACAGCAACUGACGCUGAGGCGCGAAAGCGUGGGGAGCAAACAGGAUUAGAUACCCUGGUAGUCCACGCUGUAAACGAUGGAUACUAGGUGUGGGGGGACUGACCCCCUCCGUGCCGCAGUUAACACAAUAAGUAUCCCACCUGGGGAGUACGAUCGCAAGGUUGAAACUCAAAGGAAUUGACGGGGGCCCGCACAAGCGGUGGAGUAUGUGGUUUAAUUCGAAGCAACGCGAAGAACCUUACCCGGGCUCAAACGGCACAGUGAUACUUUUGAAAGGAGGUAGCUCUACGGAGACUGUGCCGAGGUGCUGCAUGGUUGUCGUCAGCUCGUGCCGUGAGGUGUCGGCUUAAGUGCCAUAACGAGCGCAACCCCUAUUGUCAGUUGCCAGCAGGUAAAGCUGGGGACUCUGACGAGACUGCCGGCGCAAGCUGAGAGGAAGGCGGGGAUGACGUCAAAUCAGCACGGCCCUUACGUCCGGGGCGACACACGUGUUACAAUGGCAGGCACAGCGGGAAGCCGCCCGGCGACGGGGAGCGGAACCCGAAAGCCUGUCUCAGUUCGGAUCGGAGUCUGCAACUCGACUCCGUGAAGCUGGAUUCGCUAGUAAUCGCGCAUCAGCCAUGGCGCGGUGAAUACGUUCCCGGGCCUUGUACACACCGCCCGUCAAGCCAUGGAAGCCGGGAGCGCCUGAAGCGCGUGACCGCGAGGAGCGCGCUAAGGUGAUACCGGUGACUGGGGCUAAGUCGUAACAAGGUAACCGUA
rnacentral:rRNA from 1 species